CCAUGCUAGAUGGGGAGGUAGCGGUGCCCUGAACCUGCAACCCGCUAUAGCAGGAUUGAAUCCCUGUCCCAGGCUUUUUUCUGUAAGGACAGCCCAUUGUAGGCGGUGAUGAGAUGCGGGUCUCACGCAACGAAAAAAUGUGAACCCCGUCAGGUCCGGAAGGAAGCAGCGGUAAGCAUUACUUUUCGUGUGCCGUGAGGAUGCCUGUGUUGAGCUAAAUAUAAUGGUAACGCUUGUGGAGAUAAGUCGAAGACAGGUGCAUGG
rnacentral:SRP_RNA from 1 species